AAGGACAUCGAAGCACUAGAUCGUCGUCCCAUUGAUCUUCUUGUAGGUACAUUUUCCCAUGUUGUAUUGCAUUUGUCGCUGCUCAUAAACAAUUGUGCUUUUUCUUGAACCCUGGUCAUUAUAGAUACCAAGAUUAAGAGCACAAGUAAAAGAAUUGUGUUGUUCUUUGAGGGAAGACUCAGCUACAUAGAAGAAUGCACCUCUUGUCCAGUAUUGUUUCUUCUGUAUCUUAUAGGGUUGCCAUAUGAUUUUGGCAUGAUCUGUUCAAAGAUUUGUCCAUUAUUAGUUCGUUGUUUGGUCAGCACAUACUGAUUGUGUGGACAUUGGCGAUGCUUGCUUGUUCAGUUUGGUACAUGUAUAAUUUGAUUUUCAUGAGUGUGUAUUUUAUUGUUUGUGUAACGUAACUUGGUUUGUUUGUUGCAGUUACUUGAUUUGGUACACUCUGCUCGACUUGGCCAGUCGAUAUGAGGUUCAUGUGUGUAUCCUCCCAGUUACGAUUUUGGCCUGUUGGGCAAGAGACUAAGAUAUUUAUGGAGGGAGCUAAUUAUCUAUAUUUCUUUUUGGUAUUUGAACUAUAUUUGCAUCCUUAAUUUGUAGUCUAUGUUUUUAUAUCGUCGUUUGCCCAGUUGUGUGCAUUGAUCAUAGACUAAAAUCAUAGUGUGUAACAGCAACUUGUUACAGCAUAGUAAUUUGACAAUCAGGAAACAAUCUCUCUUGGAAACCAUAGUUUACUAUUUGCCAUUUCUAGCCAUCUCCCUUAUAACGUGCAUAGCUACAUGUCUGAAUGUGGGAUAGUUAUGCACGUUCCAAGCCUUAUUAGUGGUGGAAUUGCAAAUAUGCUUUUGUUUUAAAGAUUAGUCAUGUAUUCUAAUUGCAAUUUACAUUGCAGACCGAGGCACGAGUCCUGGAUUUCGAUGGUUCUUGCACACCUGCAGGCACAGCGGACAAGAAACUUGGCAGCUGUGACCGGAGAUCUGUUAGCUCAGCCAUUCUUCCCUCCCCUAGCCUGAGUAGUUUCUGGAAUGUUGCCGCUGCUCAUAAACCUUGAAGAAGAGUGUGCUUCCAUAUUCUCAUCUCUCAAUGUCGGUACCUUGGCAAAUGUUUUCCUAUGUUUCCUGGGUUGUGUUGGCUAGCCCCUAAUAUAAAGUGGUCAUUGCCUAUCUAUUACUUAGAUUGAUUAAUUGUCCAUUAUUUACUAUUUAUUUGUUACUAAUAUUUUAUUGUUGUUCUUGUUGU
rnacentral:lncRNA from 1 species